rnacentral:rRNA from 1 species
UCGGGAAUUUUGGGCAAUGGGCGAAAGCCUGACCCAGCAACGCCGCGUGAAGGAUGAAGUAUUUCGGUAUGUAAACUUCGAAAGAGUAGGAAGAAUAAAUGACGGUACUAUUUAUAAGGUCCGGCUAACUACGUGCCAGCAGCCGCGGUAAUACGUAGGGACCAAGCGUUGUUCGGAUUUACUGGGCGUAAAGGGCGCGUAGGCGGCAAUUCAAGUCAUCUGUGAAAUCUCCGGGCUUAACUCGGAACGGUCAGAUGAUACUGCUUUGCUAGAGUGCAGAAGGGGCAAUCGGAAUUCUUGGUGUAGCGGUGAAAUGCGUAGAUAUCAAGAGGAACACCUGAGGUGAAGACGGGUUGCUGGGCUGACACUGACGCUGAGGCGCGAAAGCCAGGGGAGCAAACGGGAUUAGAUACCCAGGUAGUCCCUGAGCGGGCUGGCAAGGCGCAU